rnacentral:rRNA from 1 species
GAUGAACGCUGGCGGCGUGCCUAAUACAUGCAAGUCGGACGGAGCGCUUCGGCGCUCAGUGGCGAACGGGUGAGUAGCACAUGGGCAACCUGCCCUUCAGAGGGGGACAACAGCUGGAAACGGCUGCUAAUACCGCAUAAUGCAUUGGACUCGCAUGUUUCUGAUGCCAAAGAUUUUAUCGCUGAAAGAUGAGCUCGCGUCUGAUUAGCUAGUUGGCGGGGUAACGGCCCACCAAGGCGACGAUCAGUAGCCGGACUGAGAGGUUGAACGGCCACAUUGGGACUGAGACACGGCCCAG